rnacentral:rRNA from 1 species
UACAGAGGGUGCAAGCGUUAAUCGGAAUUACUGGGCGUAAAGCGCACGUAGGCGGCUUUGUAAGUUAGAGGUGAAAGCCCAGGGCUCAACCCUGGAAUUGCCUUUAAGACUGCAUCGCUAGAAUUGUGGAGAGGUAAGUGGAAUUCCGAGUGUAGAGGUGAAAUUCGUAGAUAUUCGGAAGAACACCAGUGGCGAAGGCGACUUACUGGACACAUAUUGACGCUGAGGUGCGAAAGCGUGGGGAGCAAACAGG